rnacentral:rRNA from 1 species
UGGGGAAUUUUGGACAAUGGGCGAAAGCCUGAUCCAGCAAUGCCGCGUGUGUGAAGAAGGCCUUCGGGUUGUAAAGCACUUUUGUCCGGAAAGAAAUCCUUGGCUCUAAUACAGUCGGGGGAUGACGGUACCGGAAGAAUAAGCACCGGCUAACUACGUGCCAGCAGCCGCGGUAAUACGUAGGGUGCAAGCGUUAAUCGGAAUUACUGGGCGUAAAGCGUGCGCAGGCGGUUUGCUAAGACCGAUGUGAAAUCCCCGGGCUCAACCUGGGGAACUGCAUUGGUGACUGGCAGGCUAGAGUAUGGCAGAGGGGGGUAGAAUUCCACGUGUAGCAGUGAAAUGCGUAGAGAUGUGGAGGAAUACCGAUGGCGAAGGCAGCCCCCUGGGCCAAUACUGACGCUCAUGCACGAAAGCGUGGGGAGCAAACAGGAUUAGAUACCCUGGUAGUCCACGCCCUAAACGAUGUCAACUAGUUGUUGGGGAUUCAUUUCCUUAGUAACGUAGCUAACGCGUGAAGUUGACCGCCUGGGGAGUACGGUCGCAAGAUUAAACUCAAAGGAAUUGACGGGGUCAUA